CGGCUGCACGUUCAUGUGAUCAAAGUCGCUUUGCUAACUAGCAGCAGAGAGGUCCAGCUCAUCCACAUUCCUGCCAGCUCCAGGGUGACGAACUCGGUGGCAGCAGAUCAAAAGGGGCAUGUUUGGCACACGCAGAUGGGUCCCACCGCGGUCCCAUGACAGAAAGGGAGUUGGGAUGGUUCCAAGCCUAUCGCUGUGGAUCUGUAUUCUUCAGGCUGCUCGGGGUCCCAGAGACUCACAACACUUCCUACUGAGCUUGGCCUCAUGGAAAAAAAUCCUAACUCCCCUAGCAGUGGCUCUAAUGAGCACCAUCAUUACCACCGCCGUGACUGCUGCCGAGUCCGAUGACAGGUCUGAGUCUCUGCUGAGCUACGGAUAACCCAAGGCUGCAGCAGAGGGUCCCAACAGGAGGGACCCUGGACUGGUGAUUGACAAGACCAGCCUGGGAUACGGGGAAAUAAGGAAAGUGUCUAGGAAUAAACGAGCAGGACCAACGCCUCCUUGGCAGAGCUCAGCCUGAGUCUCCACGGGCAGAAGUGGUUGGCACUGAGGGGCCAGCCCUGCCCACAUGCUGUGCUUGGAGAAUUCGAUGCCUUACAAGUGGGGAAGCCAGACUGCUGGAGAAAACACGGCGGCAGGAAGGGAGUGAGCUGCCCCAUGCCCCACGCCUUGGUGCCCGCAGAUCUCCCCUGGUCGGAAUACUCCGUCUUUGAGAGUGUUAGAGGACCCCAUCCAGCUGCUCUCCGCAGACAUCACCAGCACUGUGACCCCACACGUGGGGCUCUGGGCCUCAGCACUGGAGCAGGACACCAGGCGUUGGAGCAGGACCCAAAGCCGGAAGUUCCAGUCCACGCAAGACUCCUCCAGCGCCUGGCAGAAUCGCCUCUCAACACAUCUGCAGGUUGCCAAGACGUCGCUCGGCUCCCACGCAGGUCACCCCGCUGCUACCUACCCACAGCACAACGCCAU